rnacentral:rRNA from 1 species
GGUUUAAUUCGAAGCAACGCGAAGAACCUUACCAAGUCUUGACAUCCUCUGACAACCCUAGAGAUAGGGCUUUCCCCUUCGGGGAACAGAGUGACAGGUGGUGCAUGGUUGUCGUCAGCUCGUGUCGUGAGAUGUUGGGUUAAGUCCCGCAACCGAGCGCAACCCUUGUCCUUAGUUGCCAGCAUUCAGUUGGGCACUUUAAUCUGACUGCCGCAGACAAUGCGGAGGAAGGGUGGGGAUGACGUCAAAUCAUCAUGCCCCUUAUGACCUGGGCUACACACGUGCUACAAUGGAUGGUACAAAGGGUUGCUAAGCCGUGAGGUGGAGCUAAUCCCAUAAAGCCAUUCUCAGUUCGGAUUGUAGGCUGCAACUCGCCUACAUGAAGCCGGAAUCGCUAGUAAUCGCAGAUCAGCAUGCUGCGGUGAAUACGUUCCCGGGCCUUGUACACACCGCCCGUCACACCACGAGAGCUUGCAACACCCGAAGUCGGUGAGGCAACCCUUCCGGGAGCCAGCCGCCGAAGGUGGGGCAAGUGAUUGGGGUGAAGUCGUAACAAGGUAGCCGUAUGGGAAGGUGCGGCUGGAUCACCUCCU